CAUUGACCCACAUGUUUGGUAGGCGCGCGCUCAAGAGCCAUGUGAUGUGCCAGCUCAAUUAAUUAGCUUCAUCCAACGCUCCAUGUUUUUCCACAUUUUAUUUUCUGAUUUCCAUUUUCUUUUUAUUUCUUUAAUUCCUUUUCAUUUCGAAAAAUCAUAUCUCCUUCAUUAUUGGUCCAAAAAAUGUGAGACCAAUUGCAUUUUUCUUCUUUUAAUUUCUAGUUUCUAAAAAUG
rnacentral:lncRNA from 1 species